CACGUAGGGCGCAAGCGUUGUCCGGAAUUAUUGGGCGUAAAGAGCUCGUAGGCGGUCUGUUGCGUCCGCUGUGAAAACUCGGGGCUUAACCCCGAGCCUGCAGUGGAUACGGGCAGACUAGAGGUAGGUAGGGGAGAAUGGAAUUCCCGGUGUAGCGGUGAAAUGCGCAGAUAUCGGGAGGAACACCGGUGGCGAAGGCGGCAUCCUGGACCGGCAUUGACGCUGAGGAGCGAAAGCCAGGGGAGCAAAGCGGG
rnacentral:rRNA from 1 species